rnacentral:tRNA from 1 species
UAUUUUAAUAGCUUAUAUAAAAGUAUAAUAUUGAAGAUAUUAAGAAGGCAGUAGCUUUAAAAUAUU